AUGGAUCGGGGAGCCCGGCCCAUGGACGGAGAGAGAAGUAGGCUGGCAGAGGAGCCCGGCCCGGUAUCUCUGCUAUCGCGCGGGCCUGACGAGGGCCUUGUUGUGGGCUACCCAUGUCGUCUCCCGUGCCGUCGUCGUCCUUGCCUCGCCGUCGUCCUCCGGCGAAUCGCUGCGGCCAUGGCGGCCCCCCCGCCGCUUGUGCCGACUCCGCCCGCGAGCCUCAAUCUGCGGGGCGCAGACGCCGCCGCCGGACCCCGCGCGCCCAAGCUCCACCGCCCCCUGGAGCCUCCGCGUCCGGCCGCGCAGGGGGGCCUCCACAGGCAUGCCUCCCAGUCCCUCUAUUCCGCCAGCAGGCGCCAGGAGCUGAAUCCGCCGCCGAGCAGUCGAAACCGGUCACAGGCGCCACCGUCUAAAGUUGUGCCUCGAUCAAGGUCGCCGCCGUCCACACCGAUCACUGAGCGCCUGGCGGAGCCGCAGUGCGCCAAGCGGCCACGCCGAGGCGAGCCGGACGCGGCCGAGGCUUCCGUGGAUGGUCGGGAUGAAGGGGAGAAGGCGGUGUCAAUGUUGUCGUCGGCCGACGGGUCGUCCGUGGAGAAUCGGCCGAGCCGCAGCCACUGCAAGCAGCCAGAAACUUCAUCAGCUUCAGUGGAGCAGAGACCUGAUCCUGCAAUCCCGGGGGAUGAGCAGAAGUUGGGUAGUGAGAAGAUGGAUGCAAAGGCCCGGACUGAUCACAAGGAGGGUCCAUCCAGAAGUGCUCGUCGCAAAAAGAUGAAAAGACAGCUCAAGCUGCGGGGCGCAGACGCCGCCGUUGAAUCCUGUGCGUCCAAGCUGCAUGGCUCCCUGGAGCCGCCGCAGCUGGCCGGGAGCCUCCACCGGCAUGUGUCUCUGUGUUCUACCAGCAGGCGCCAGGAACCGAGUCCGCCGCCACGCAGCAGGCGCCGAGCAGAGAAGUCGCCGCCGCCGAAGUCCAAAAUUAGGCCUCGAGCAAGGUCGCCGCCGAUCACUCAGCUCCUAGCGGAGCAGCAGCACACCAAGCGGCCACGCCAAGGCGAGGCGGACACAGCCGUGGAAGGUAAGGAGGAAGGGGAGAAGGCGGUGUCAAUGUUGUCGUCAGUCGAUGGGCCGUCCUUGGAGAAUCGGCCAAGCUACAGCAACUGCAACUGCGAGCAGCCAGAAACUUUAUCAGCUGCAGUGGAGGAGAGACCUGAUCCUGCAAUCCCCGGGGAUGAGCAGAAGUUGGAUAGUGGGAGGAGGGAUGCAAAGACCCAGACUGAUCACAAGGAGGGUCCAUCCAGAAGUGCUCGCCGCAAAAAGAUGAAAAGACAGAUACGGGCAGAAUCUGAAAAGGAACUGAGGGAGAUGAAAAAGGAUAAGCUGUUAGAAAACAUUAAAAAGCUGCAAGCUUGCAUCUGGCUUCUUGAGAAGGAAGGUGCAGACACGGCUGAAAUCAUGGAAUUCAGGAGUUUGCUUGAAUCAACGAAGAUGCAGUAUGCGCAGUAUGUGGAGAAUGAGACACAGUUGGCAAAGGAAGGGUCAAGUGCAUCAUCACCUCAGGCGCUAAACAAGGAUAGACCCGAGAAAAUGCAUGUGGAAACUCCUAUAGAGAAGGUUGAGAGAGAUGAGCAAAACUUGGAUUCUGGAAAGGCAGAGGGCAGUAGCCUGAAAGGUUUCAAGGCAAUCUCGAAACAGAACGAAUUAGCGGAGGAGGUGAAUUUUCUUAAGAUUGAACUUGAAGCAGUCAAGCAAGAUCGUGACUAUCAAUUAGCUCAGGUGCAGUCUUUGACGGCUGACGUAGCUAAGCAGAAAGAAGUUGCAAGAAGAUGUGGGGCUGAGCUAGAGAAUGCCAUGAGGAGAGUUGCUGCCCUCGAGGAAGGAGGCCUGUUGCAAAGGGAGACAAUAAGAACGUUGCAGAUUCAGCUUGCUUCUGCAAAUGAGAAACUAACGGGGCUGCCCUCUUCCACCAAAGAUUGA
rnacentral:rRNA from 1 species